rnacentral:rRNA from 2 species
UCUGCCAUCAGGUCUGGGACAACCACUGGAAACGGUGGCUAAUACCGGAUGUGCCCUUCGGGGUGAAAGGUUAACUGCCUGUUGAUGAGCUCGCGUCUGAUUAGCUAGUUGGUGUGGUAAGAGCGCACCAAGGCGACGAUCAGUAGCUGGUCUGAGAGGACGAUCAGCCACACUGGGACUGAGACACGGCCCAGACUCCUACGGGAGGCAGCAGUGGGGAAUUUUCCGCAAUGGGCGAAAGCCUGACGGAGCAAUACCGCGUGAGGGAGGAAGGCUCUUGGGUCGUAAACCUCUUUUCUCAGGGAAGAACACAAUGACGGUACCUGAGGAAUAAGCAUCGGCUAACUCCGUGCCAGCAGCCGCGGUAAUACGGAGGAUGCAAGCGUUAUCCGGAAUGAUUGGGCGUAAAGCGUCCGCAGGUGGCUAUGUAAGUCUGCUGUUAAAGAGUCUAGCUCAACUAGAUAAGAGCAGUGGAAACUACAAGGCUAGAGUGCGUUCGGGGCAGAGGGAAUUCCUGGUGUAGCGGUGAAAUGCGUAGAGAUCAGGAAGAACACCAGUGGCGAAGGCGCUCUGCUAGGCCGCAACUGACACUGAGGGACGAAAGC